CUGAAUACUGUACCGAUUUAUUUGUACUCGACGUAUAGACAUAGGAGGCUCAUUCUUAUAUGUCUUGUUUUAUCUGGACAUUGUAUUGUCACCUUAUUGAUUUGUUUUCAAUAAAAAAUAAAUAAAAAAAAUAUACAAACCCAGA